rnacentral:snRNA from 1 species
UCACCACUCUGGCCUUCUGGCUUAGAUCAAGUGUAGUAUCUGUUCUUUUAGUCUUAAUCGACUAAACGCUGUCAUUGACAGUUAUAUCGAUUAUUCAAUUUUUGUCGCCCGGGUGGCUUGCUCCUCUGCUUGCACGAGUGGCCACGAGAUGACCUUGCUAUUACAGUAUAUGCAGGUGUCGUCGCGGGAU